AAACUACUCCCUCUGUUCGGAAUUACUUGUCGCAGAAAUGGAUAUAUCUAGACGUAUUUUAGUUUUAGACACAUCUAUUUUCGAGACUAGUAAUUCCGAACGAAGGGAGUACUUA
rfam:Triticum aestivum genome assembly, contig: Triticum_aestivum_CS42_TGACv1_scaffold_223517_3B